CCGCCUGGGGAGUACGGCCGCAAGGUUAAAACUCAAAUGAAUUGACGGGGGCCCGCACAAGCGGUGGAGCAUGUGGUUUAAUUCGAUGCAACGCGAAGAACCUUACCUGGUCUUGACAUCCACAGAAUUUCAGAGAUGGGAUGUGCCUUCGGGAACCGUGAGACAGGUGCUGCAUGGCUGUCGUCAGCUCGUGUUGUGAAAUGUUGGGUUAAGUCCCGCAACGAGCGCAACCCUUAUCCUUUGUUGCCAGCGAUUAGGUCGGGAACUCAAAGGAGACUGCCAGUGAUAAACUGGAGGAAGGUGGGGAUGACGUCAAGUCAUCAUGGCCCUUACGACCAGGGCUACACACGUGCUACAAUGGCGCAUACAAAGAGAAGCGACCUCGCGAGAGCAAGCGGACCUCAUAAAGUGCGUCGUAGUCCGGAUUGGAGUCUGCAACUCGACUCCAUGAAGUCGGAAUCGCUAGUAAUCGUGGAUCAGAAUGCCACGGUGAAUACGUUCCCGGGCCUUGUACACACCGCCCGUCACACCAUGGGAGUGGGUUGCAAAAGAAGUAGGUAGCUUAACCUUCGGGAGGGCGCUUACCACUUUGUGAUUCAUGACUGGGGUGAAGUCGUAACAAGGUAACCGUAGGGGAACCUGCGGUUGGAUCACCUCCUUACCUGAAAGAA
rnacentral:rRNA from 1 species